ACAAACAUGGUGUAAUGAACGUCAUAUAUCAUAACAAAACAAAACUUUCAACAACGGAUCUCUUGGCUCUCGCAUCGAUGAAGAACGCAGCGAAAUGCGAUAAGUAAUGUGAAUUGCAGAAUUCAGUGAAUCAUCGAAUCUUUGAACGCACCUUGCGCCCUCUGGUAUUCCGGAGGGCAUGCCUGUUUGAGUGUCAUGUAGACUCAAUCCCUCGGGUUUCCGAGGAGAUUGGACUUGGGUGUUGCCGCUUCUGCCGGCUCACCUUAAAAGACUUAGCGGGAUAGCACCGUAGUCGGCGUAAUAAGUUUCGUCGGUGAAGGUUGUGAUGACUGCUUACAAUCGCCCUCGGGCAAUUUUUGACUCUGACCUCAAAUCAGGUAGGACUACCCGCUGAACUUAAGCAUAUCAAUAAGCGGAGGAAAAGAAACUAACAAGGAUUCCCUUAGUAGCGGCGAGCGAAGCGGGAAGAGCUCAAAUUUGAAAGCUGGCGUCCUUCGGGCGUCCGCAUUGUAAUCUAUAGAGGCGUUUUCUGUGCUGGACGUGUCCAAGUCCCUUGGAACAGGGUAUCAAAGAGGGUGGCAAUCCCGUACUUGACACGACAACCAGUGCUCUGUGAUACGUCUUCUACGAGUCGAGUUGUUUGGGAAUGCAGCUCAAAAUGGGUGGUGAAUUCCAUCUAAAGCUAAAUAUU
rnacentral:rRNA from 1 species